rnacentral:rRNA from 1 species
UACGUAGGGGGCAAGCGUUGUCCGGAAUUAUUGGGCGUAAAGAGCGUGUAGGCGGUCCGAUAAGUCGGCUGUGAAAGUCCAGGGCUCAACUCUGGAAUGCCGGCCGAUACUGUCGGACUAGAGUCCGGAAGAGGUGAGUGGAAUUCCCGGUGUAGCGGUGAAAUGCGCAGAUAUCGGGGAGGAACACCAAUGGCGAAGGCAGCUCACUGGGACAGCACUGACGCUGAGACGCGAAAGCGUGGGGAGCAACAGGG